rnacentral:rRNA from 1 species
UACAGAGGGUGCGAGCGUUGUCCGGAAUCACUGGGCGUAAAGGGCGCGUAGGCGGCUUGAUAAGCGUGCGGUGAAAGCCCGGGGCUCAACCCCGGGUCGGCCGUGCGAACUGUCGAGCUGGAGCACUGUAGAGGCAGGUGGAAUUCCGGGUGUAGCGGUGGAAUGCGUAGAUAUCGGGAAGAACACCAGUGGCGAAGGCGACGCUCUGGGCUGUCACUGACGCUGAGAUGCGAAAGUGUGGGGAGCAAACGGG